CUGAAGAACUGACCAGCUGCUGAGGGAGCAGCCGAGUGGGAGAGGCUUCUGCCCAGGCCUCCUCAGCCUCUGAGGCUGCUUCUUUUCCUCACCCUUGGGGGCUUUGCCUCCUCUGGCCCCCAGCGUUCUCCUGCAGCUUCUCACUGCCUUCCAGAGCAGCCUCCUGGAGAGCCCCACUAAUGCUAGGCCUCCCUUCCACACGUCACAAGUUCUCUGGCCUCUGCCUCAUCCUAGAAGACUAUCCAGCUAAGGUUAACAGAAGAGUUACAAGGAUGAUACAGAGAAUACAUCUGACAUUUGUCACAACUUAGAAGUUAACUCCGGAACCUUAUUACUAUCUAAACUCCAGACUUUUUAUGGAUUUCACUGCUUCUAACCCCCAAGGGCCUCUUUCAAGUUCCUGGGUCCCCUCAAGCAUACCCACUGCAUUUAGUCCUCCUGCCCUUUGCUCUGCAGCAGAUGCUCACUCUUUGCAUGCUGACAGUGACGAAGAAUUGGGUGUUUUGUACAACCCCCCUCAGCGUGUACUUGUCUGACGUUUUUCUCAUGAUUCGAUUGGGACUUGGGGACUUGGUGAAAAGGACGACCAGGUGGACCUCUCACCUCUUCUUAAUCACAUCAUUUCAGGGCUACCUGAGAUCAGUGUGGUCCGGCCCUGGUGAUCACCUGGUCAUUCGGUUAAGGCAGCGUUUUUCCUCUGUGGAGUGCUGAUUUCCCCCUUUCUAGCCUCUGCUCUUCGGAUGCAUGGGACUCGGCCCAGCUCACACUUGUGGAAGUUAAGCUCCACCUUCUGGAGUUUACAGGUGGAAAUGUGAUUUACUUCUGGUCAAUGAUUUGUGGGGAAGUCAACUGGCAAGAAGGUUUCUGAGAGGCUGUGUUGGUGACAGAAGAGAUCAUGUCUUCCAUCUGACACUCAGAACAGCAGCAGCUAUCUUGAGAAACUAAUGCAACAUCCUGAGGAUGGGAGAGAAAUGCAGAUGAAGAACCUAGACUUUGGAAGAAGUCACUGAGCUGAUGAGUCAACUAACCCAGGAGACUCCCUACCUUUGUUAGGUGAAAGAAUACGUCUUUCUUCUUGUCUUGGAAACAUUGACUGCUGUCUUUUAGUUGCAGCCCAAAGCUUCAUAACACAGCUAUUCAUUUUAAAAUGAAUUCUAAGAGAUGGCAGCAAAAGAGAGUCAUAGAUCAAAUGAUCACAUGCACAUGUAAGGGCAAACUAUGGUCCUUAAGAAGAAGGGAAAGUAUGGGACCUCCGUGAGACUAACAGACACAAAUUAACCUGGGAAGGGGAGUUAUCAAGGUAAGACUUAGUCAGCAAUGUGUGGACUGGGACUGGGGUCAGAGAGCAAGUGGAGGGGGAGGGAGGUGCUUUAGGAAUAGGGUGUGGCAUGCACACAGCUCCUGGAGGAAGUAGAAGAACGCUGUGGGCAGGAGGAACGAGGUGGAGGGAGGGAGUGGAGC